rnacentral:rRNA from 1 species
GAUGAACGCUGGCGGCGUGCCUAAUACAUGCAAGUCGAGCGAACGGACGAGAAGCUUGCUUCUCUGAUGUUAGCGGCGGACGGGUGAGUAACACGUGGAUAACCUACCUAUAAGACUGGGAUAACUUCGGGAAACCGGAGCUAAUACCGGAUAAUAUUUUGAACCGCAUGGUUCAAAAGUGAAAGACGGUCUUGCUGUCACUUAUAGAUGGAUCCGCGCUGCAUUAGCUAGUUGGUAAGGUAACGGCUUACCAAGGCAACGAUGCAUAGCCGACCUGAGAGGGUGAUCGGCCACACGGGAACGGAGACACGGUCAAGACUCCUACGAGAGGCAGCAGUAGGGAAUCGUCCGCAAUGGGCGAAAGCCUGACGGAGCAACGCCGCGUGAGUGAUGAAGGUCUUCGGAUCGUAAAACUCUGUUAUGAGGGAAGAACAUAUGUGUAAGUAACUGUGCACAUCUUGACGGUACCUAAUCAGAAAGCCACGGCUAACUACGUG